rnacentral:rRNA from 1 species
GCUUAACACAUGCAAGUCGAACGAUGAUGGGGAGCUUGCUCCUCGGAUUAGUGGCGAACGGGUGAGUAACACGUGAGUAACCUGCCCUUGACUCUGGGAUAAGCGCUGGAAACGGCGUCUAAUACCGGAUACGACCUGCCCCGGCAUCGGGUGCGGGUGGAAAGUUUUUCGGUCAAGGAUGGACUCGCGGCCUAUCAGCUUGUUGGUGAGGUAAUGGCUCACCAAGGCGACGACGGGUAGCCGGCCUGAGAGGGUGACCGGCCACACUGGGACUGAGACACGGCCCAGACUCCUACGGGAGGCAGCAGUGGGGAAUAUUGCACAAUGGGCGAAAGCCUGAUGCAGCAACGCCGCGUGAGGGAUGACGGCCUUCGGGUUGUAAACCUCUUUUAGUAGGGAAGAAGGACUUCGGUUUGACGGUACCUGCAGAAAAAGCACCGGCUAACUACGUGCCAGCAGCCGCGGUAAUACGUAGGGUGCAAGCGUUGUCCGGAAUUAUUGGGCGUAAAGAGCUCGUAGGCGGUUUGUCGCGUCUGCUGUGAAAACCCGAGGCUCAACCUCGGGCCUGCAGUGGGUACGGGCAGACUAGAGUGCGGUAGGGGAGAAUGGAAUUCCUGGUGUAGCGGUGGAAUGCGCAGAUAUCAGGAGGAACACCGAUGGCGAAGGCAGUUCUCUGGGCCGUAACUGACGCUGAGGAGCGAAAGCGUGGGGAGCGAACAGGAUUAGAUACCCUGGUAGUCCACGCCGUAAACGUUGGGCGCUAGAUGUGGGGACCUUUCC